rnacentral:rRNA from 1 species
UCGAGAAUCUUCGGCAAUGGGCGCAAGCCUGACCGAGCGACGCCGCGUGCGGGAUGAAGGCCUUCGGGUUGUAAACCGCUGUCAGUGGGGAGGAAAUGUCGGUGGGUACUCCCAUCGAUUUGACCUAUCCGCAGAGGAAGUACGGGCUAAGUUCGUGCCAGCAGCCGCGGUAAGACGAACCGUACGAACGUUAUUCGGAAUCACUGGGCUUAAAGGGUGCGUAGGCGGUUUGAUAAGUUGGAUGUGAAAUCCCUCGGCUUAACCGAGGAAUUGCGUUCAAUACUGUCGAACUCGAGCGAGACAGAGGUGAGCGGAACUUAGGGUGGAGCGGUGAAAUGCGUUGAUAUCCUAAGGAACACCCGUGGCGAAAGCGGCUCACUGGGUCUCUUCUGACGCUGAUGCACGAAAGCUAGGGUAGCGAAGA